rnacentral:rRNA from 1 species
AUUGAACGCUGGCGGCAUGCUUUACACAUGCAAGUCGAGCGGAUGAGUGGAGCUUGCUCCAUGAUUCAGCGGCGGACGGGUGAGUAAUGCCUAGGAAUCUGCCUGGUAGUGGGGGACAACGUUUCGAAAGGAACGCUAAUACCGCAUACGUCCUACGGGAGAAAGCAGGGGACCUUCGGGCCUUGCGCUAUCAGAUGAGCCUAGGUCGGAUUAGCUAGUAGGUGAGGUAAUGGCUCACCUAGGCGACGAUCCGUAACUGGUCUGAGAGGAUGAUCAGUCACACUGGAACUGAGACACGGUCCAGACUCCUACGGGAGGCAGCAGUGGGGAAUAUUGGACAAUGGGCGAAAGCCUGAUCCAGCCAUGCCGCGUGUGUGAAGAAGGUCUUCGGAUUGUAAAGCACUUUAAGUUGGGAGGAAGGGCAGUAAGUUAAUACCUUGCUGUUUUGACGUUACCAACAGAAUAAGCACCGGCUAAACUUCGUGCCAGCAGCCG